GAAGCCCCGUGUGUUGCUUUGUGUGUGCAUCAGUCUCUCGAGAACCCCCUGUGAAUCAGGAGGCAUACGUUCCAGUGACUAUAGGGAGUCGAGGGGCUAAAGAGGAAGCUGAUGCUUACAACAAUGGAGAUUAGCAAUACCUGGACAGAGUUGAGCUUCAAAGGAUACUGAGAAAUGGCUAAAGCAGAUGAUAAAGAAAAAAUGAGGAAAUGCUGUGAAGAACUAAUAGAACGUUUCAGAAGCAGAACAAGUCGAGAGCAGUGAUGACCCUUUUGUUCCUGCUAGUACCUCCUGUCUGUCUGGCCGAACUCACCAUCAGAUGAUGUCUUGAACCUCACCUAGAUGGGCUGGUGGUGUGUGGCCAGGUUAAGAGCACCAACAGGAGUAAGAAAGUGACCUGCCUGGUUUUACCGUGUGUACUAGGGGAGGGGUUGAAAGCUUUCGGUUGAUACAUCACCUCUGGGAGUUGAAGAAGAAUGCAAUUAAGAGAGCUAAAGAAGUCAGUAGGUAUAGAAUCUGAAACUCAGAGGUCAACUGAUGUGUCAAAGAUACCUCCACAAAUCAGUACCUUGAUUAAAACUAAAAUUGGAGUCAUCUUCAUAUCUCCAUCUUUCUCCCUCUUCAUUAGGACCGAUUGUAGUCUGUUUCCCUCUCACUCACUUGCAAUCUUUAUUGCUUUAGUGUUGCAUUUGAUUUUUAUCUUUGUUUUUGUUUUAAAUACUGUCAUUAAAGUCAUAGAAAAAUCUAAAAUAAAACUGGUUGAAUAAAAAUUUUAAAAUCGA